rnacentral:lncRNA from 1 species
AUGCCCAGGCAGCAGUCGGCGAACUCCACGAACAGCGGCUCCUGCAUCAGCCGCCUCAGGACGGAGCUUUUGUCCCGAGCCCGCUCCAGGGCGAGCAGCAGCUCCCGCAGGUGCGGGUUCCGCAGCAGCUCCCGCAGCUCUUCCGACUCUCCUGCACCGGGAAAGAACCGAGUUACAGCCGUGCCACCGAACCUGCCGGUGCCACCGAACCUGCCGGUGCCACCGAACCUGCCGGGGGAAGGCGCAGCCCCGCGCGGGUUUAUCCUGCCCGCCCCAAUCACCCAGCAGCCGCAGUUUGUGCUCCGGGACGCGGUCCUGCUCGUCCUCCUCGCCCGGGAUGUCCUCCGGGAACCCGGCCGCGGGCACCGGCUCCUGCCCGGCCGCGGGGACCGGCUCCUGCCCGGCCGCCUCCCGCUCCCGCGGGGCAUCAUCGGGAGAGCAUCGCUCUGCGGGGAGAGCCGCGUUAGUCCCGGGCCAGCCCCGGCCAGCCCCGGGCCAGCCCCGGUCCCGCCCGGCCCCUCCCGGCCCGCACUCACCGCGGUGGGUCCGGCAGCACGGCACGGAGCAGCUGCGGGGAGAAACGGCGUGAGAGACGGGCCCGCAGCGCCCUCCCCGCUCCCGACAGCGGUACCGGUGCUACUGACGGUACCGGGCCGUGCCCCAUCCCGGCAACAGCGGUACCGGCGAUACCGGCGGUACCGGCAGUGCCCCCAUCCCGGCAACAGCGGUACCGGCCGUGCCCCAUCCCGGGAACAGCGGUACCGGCCGUGCCUCAGCCCGCCGACACCGGUAACGGCGGUACCGGCCGUGCCCCCCCAGCCCGCGGUACCGGCGGUACCGGCAGUACCCCAGCCCGCCCUACCGGCCGUGCCCCCCCAGCCCGCGGUACCGGCGGUACCGGCCGUGCCCCAGCCCGCCGAUAGCGGUACCGGCCAUGCCCCCAGCCCGCCGACAGCGGUACCGGCCGUGCCCCCAGCCCGCGGUACCGGCGGUACCGGCCGUGCCCCAGCCCGCCGAUAG